ACAGCAAUAGACCGUUUGCUUCAGCUAAUCUCAAGAUGUUUAAGUUCACGGCUCUUCACUUCGUAUUUUUCGCAGUCGCUGUUGGGCUCAUGGUCGAAACCGUUACUUCGUAUUGCGAUCCGUCAAGGAUGCCGAUGACAAGCCCGGCGCGAUCGCACCCAACCCCCUCGCCGAGACGUGGGAGGCCAAGACCUAAGCGCGGGACCUAGACGACAAACGAGGACUCGUCGCCAGGGCCCGGGAGGCGAUCGCGGCCAGAUGAUUCCUGGACUAAGGGACCCUCCCACCUAGAGUGACCCCAAGCUUAAGAGCUCGGGGACACUGUUUUGGCAAAUUAAAAGUUUAUUUCAUCGUCAUCAUCCGUGUUUUUCAUGCAUAAAUAAAAUUCGGUGCGCAGUAGAAAGCUCAGAAGAGAAGAAAAGUGGCAUGCAUUCGUUUCAUUUGCAAACUAAGAAGUGGUGAAGCUAGCAGCGGCGGCGGAACGGGUGUUGACAUCAUGAACAACUCUGAAAAGGAAUUCCGUCGCUCUCCUGCCGCUUCCUAUAGUGCGAACGGAGCCUAAGCCUGAUUGCGUGAGCAGGAACGAAAGAGAGCGUGGUUGUUUAUACUUUGUUUCUCUGUAGGGUUGUGUUUAUUUUGUUUUAUUCCAAAUUAAAGGCAUGUGUCGUGAAUUUUUGGUGUACGAACUUCACUCUAAACACAAUUCAAAAUUUCGUUUCAUAAUUGAUCUUAUGUCCGUCUCGUGACUUACAUUCGUGCUCUAGUUUAUGAGAGUUUAUUCUGUCUUGCAUGAUAAACCAUAGAAGUACUCGAUAUCACUUGUUGCAGUCAAGUAGCUUAUGAUG
rnacentral:lncRNA from 1 species